UACGUAGGGUGCGAGCGUUGUCCGGAAUUAUUGGGCGUAAAGCGCGCGUAGGCGGUUACUUAAGUCGGAUGUGAAAGCCCUCGGCUUAACUGAGGAAGUGCACCCGAAACUGAGUAGCUAGAGUACGAAAGAGGGUCGCGGAAUUCCCGGUGUAGAGGUGAAAUUCGUAGAUAUCGGGAGGAACACCGGUGGCGAAGGCGGCGACCUGGGUCGAGACUGACGCUGAGGCGCGAAAGCGUGGGGAGCAAACAGG
rnacentral:rRNA from 1 species